GAACAAUUUGGUCGGUACGACCAACCCAAAUCCAGCAGAGCUUCGGAAUGUUUCCACGAAUUUCCGAGGUGAAAAGUUUUUGAACUCACCCCCUGCUAGACUAGCAAGAUUCCCAGAAUUGACAAACACAUGUCCAUGUAUUCCAGAUUCCCGGAAUAGCUUGAGAGGUAGAUCAAAGGAAAGGUCAGCAAAUGUAGUGACAGCG
rnacentral:misc_RNA from 1 species